UACGUAGGGGGCAAGCGUUGUCCGGAAUUAUUGGGCGUAAAGAGCGCGUAGGCGGUCCGAUAAGUCGGCUGUGAAAGUCAAGGGCUCAACCCUUGGAAGCCGGCCGAUACUGUCGGACUAGAGUCCGGAAGAGGCGAGUGGAAUUCCCGGUGUAGCGGUGAAAUGCGCAGAUAUCAGGAGGAACACCGAUUGCGAAGGCAGCUCGCUGGAACGUUACUGACGCUGAGACGCGAAAGCGUGGGGAGCAAACAGG
rnacentral:rRNA from 1 species